CUCACCAUUUUGGGUUGGUGUGGCUAUAUCGUUUGAUGAAGGAAACUCCGUAAAUUUAACUGCUCUGCUUUUAGAACAUAUGCUCGUGCAUAAAUUCAAUUUUGGUCUACAGAAUUCACCAAAUGCUUAAAGUGAAGCCUGAGCCAUCUGUGCAUUCACAAUUGUUAACAGUUUGUGUGGAAUCAUCUUAUCACACGCCCUAAUGCGUUACGGUGGCGUAUACGCGACAUGCACUCGUGAGCAAGAAAAACGCGCAGAUUGUGGAGAGAUGCCUAGCAGCUUACGUCUUUAAGUGACCGAACCGACGAAAACUUGCACCAACGGAAUAAUACCGUUUUAAAUAUUUGGAUUUGGGUACUUUUUAUUUCAAUAUUAUAUUUAAUCGUUUGUCACUGUUGCCCGUUAAAGAGGUAAUUCGCACAUCAAAGAGCCGUCAACGACUGAAGAUUUUCCACGCAGUUUGCGCUAUAAAUAUUGCAGUGCGAUUUGCGACUGAAAAGGAUGCUCGGCAGCUAAAGGAUGAUGAGCUUUUGGGAGCAUAAGAGAGCCGAAAUCGGAAAGGAGUCUUUGAAUUACCAACCAUGCGCAGUUGGGAGCGCCCAUGUACUCUUAGUUUGUACAAAGAGAAAUAAGCGAUUCCAGGAGGGACAGAACAUCUACGCUUGGCAGCUGUUAAACUAAAAAAAUCAUAAAUCACCGGCAUAAUUUAACAACAAAAUGUGAGCAACAAUAUUUACAGAUGAAAUUUUUUAAACAACGCAGGAUGUACAUUUAUUACAUUCUCGCAAUGCAUAAAAGAAGAU